GAUGAGCGCUGACAGAAUGCUUAACACAUGCAAGUCAACUUGAAUUUGGGUUUUUAACUUAGGUUUGGGUGGCGGACGGGUGAGUAACGCGUAAAGAACUUGCCUCACAGCUAGGGACAACAUUUGGAAACGAAUGCUAAUACCUAAUAUUAUGAUAAUAGGGCAUCCUAUAAUUAUGAAAGCUAUAAGCGCUGUGAGAGAGCUUUGCGUCCCAUUAGCUAGUUGGAGAGGUAACGGCUCACCAAGGCGAUGAUGGGUAGCCGGCCUGAGAGGGUGAUCGGCCACAAGGGGACUGAGACACGGCCCUUACUCCUACGGGAGGCAGCAGUGGGGAAUAUUGGACAAUGGACCGAGAGUCUGAUCCAGCAAUUCUGUGUGCACGAUGAAGUUUUUCGGAAUGUAAAGUGCUUUCAGUUGGGAAGAAACAAAUGACGGUACCAACAGAAGAAGUGACGGCUAAAUACGUG
rnacentral:rRNA from 1 species